AUUCUAUGGCGGAAGGUAUUCUCACAGACGCUUACGGGAACACAUUAAGGUCUGGUAUAGAUGUUGGUGGAAUUAUUACACCUGAUCCAUAUAUGGACCCUGCGAGAAAUAAACUCAUUUACGACGACCUUCAAAAUUUCAAGUUUAGGAAUUACGAUAUAAUGUUGUGUACAUUCCUGAAAUCCGGCACACACUGGAUGUAGGAAAUACUUAGCAUGGUUAAUAACAGAUCAUCGGAGAGGAUAAAAACUUUCAAGUACAUGUCUAUGAUUGAGUGCCAGACCCAGGAGUAUAUUGAUGCAUUACAGUCACCUCGUGUUCUUAAUUCUCACUUAAGACCAAGUUUACUUCCACAGGGUCUCGGCCAAAGGAAAAUAAAAAUGAUUUUGUG
rnacentral:lncRNA from 1 species